UACAGAGGAGCCAAGCGUUGUCCGGAUUGACUGGGCGUAAAGCGCACGCAGGCGGUUGCGCGCGUGGGGUGUGAAAUCUGGCCGCUUAACGGCCAGGGGCCAUCCCAUACGGCGCGACUGGAGUGAUGCAGAGGUCGAUGGAAUUGCCGGUGUAGUGGUGAAAUGCGUAGAGAUCGGCAGGAACACCCAGGGGGAAACCAGUCGACUGGGCAUCUACUGACGCUGAGGUGCGAGAGCGUGGGGAGCGAACCGG
rnacentral:rRNA from 1 species